UGUACCAGGCCAGGCACAUUUUGAUGGAAUUGCUGAUGGCUCAUCUUCACCUGUUAGAAGAUGUCAGGCAGUUUGGCCAUUUCAGCUGGAGUGGCCAGGGCAUCUGCUGUCUGACUACCUUCUGUGAUAAAGCCUGUCAGCUCCAGGAUGGUGGCUUUCUUAGCACAGACUUUAAUCAUGAGGUCGAGAGUCGGCGGCGGAUUGAAUGGAAGGCCCAGGAUGAACUUCUUGCAUGUAUCAUCAGCAUUUGCCUGGGCCAUCUCUGUCAUGAUCUCCACUUGCAUCAGCCAACUCUCCACCUGCUUCUCUACUUCCACUCGGAGCCUCUCAACAAAAUCUAUAAAAAACUCAGAGGAAAACUCCUGGAUGUUGA